UCGUGCUAGGCGGGGAGCUAGCGGUGCCCUGUACUCGCAAUCCGCUAUAGCGAGGCUGAAUUCCUACUUGAGGCUUUUGUCUGGUGGGACUGCUUGGGCUAAGUGGUGUUGAAGACCGGGUCCUGCGCGGCGGAACUCUAUGAAUCCCGUCAGGUCUGAGAGGAAGCAGCGGUAAAUAGUAGUUUCUGGGUGACGCAGGGUUACCUGGUUGGAGCUGGCUGGUUCAAGUAAGCUGCGAGGCGGGGUCGAGAGUAGGUGCACGG
rnacentral:SRP_RNA from 1 species